ensembl:lncRNA
AUCAGAUUCACUUUUCUACUAAAAUGGGAAUCUUCAAGUGAGAAAGUCUGGAAUCUCCGCACCGGCUCGUGAGCAUAUUUGUGAUAUAUUAUUAUAAAUUCUGUUUUGAUAAAAGACGACAGGUCUUCUGAGAAGCUUUAACAAUGUGUUGGAACAGGUCUGAGUUCUGAGAAUGAUCACACUCUUGGGUCACUUGAUCUGUUGCUCAACAAGGCUUUCCUUCCUACUCAAACCCAAAACGUAAAACAUUAACCGUAGCUGCAUAAUAAAAACCUCCACCUUUUUUGUCCACAUCCAAAAUGAGAAAGUAAAAACGUGAUUUAACAUGAGAUAGCUUUUUUUUUUUACGUUUCUAAAACACUAAAAGUGCCACACAGACUACAAUAUCUCAAAGAGAUGAAUCUGACAGUGGAAAAUCCCCAUGGAGUUUCCCAUGAGGUCAGUUAUUGGUGAGAUACCUCAAAAACCAUUGGGGGAGAUUUAUAGAGGUUUUCAGACAUCUGCAUGGAAACCUUUCAACGGAGUAACCAGAGACAUCUUUUUGUUUAACGUCCACUAACGAGCAAAACAUGGCGGUUGUUUACAUUCAAUGACAAGAAGAAGGAAAAAAAAACAUGGCGGUUGUUUUGUAGGUCAGACCUAAAAUAUCUCAAAUUGACUUAUUGCGCCCUCAGUUAAUCAAUAAAUAAUUUAAUAUUAAACAUGAAUAAAAAGUAGUAGACUAAUAACUGAAGAAGAACGCGUGUGUGUGUGUGUGUGUGUGUGUGUGUGUGUGUGUGUGUGUGUGUGUGUGUGGGUGAGAGGGAGGGGGGGGGGUGUAAGACGCUAUUCCAUUGGAUAGUUUUCGCCCCCCCUCUUCGAUCUGCUCAGCAUUCAGGAAGCGAUCGCUGCCUCUGACGCCAUGAGGUCACAGUUGUUCGCCGGCAGAGACGCGCACGGACGCACCGCUCCUGUCCGAUCGUCCGCUUCUCGGCGCUUUAAAAAGAAAAGCGAGCAGGAUUUCUUUCAAGAACUGCGCGGUUGGUCGACAGAGCCGCGAGGGACUAUCAAGGGAGAAAUCGACCCCCUCCGAUAAGUUGUUUUCUUCCGCGAGCCGCAGUUUGCCACUGGAACCAUGGUGGCGGCGGUCAUCCCCUUGUACUUCUUUGGAACGGCGCUGAGCGUCCUCGCAGUCCUCUACGGGAUUGUGGACUCCUUUGGGGGGCUGAUGUACGUCCAGGACUGUCCCCACGUCAUGGACUUUGACUGGCAGACGCAGUGGCAGCUCUCCCCGGGCCGCCAACGGAGAGCAUCUCCUCCGGCCAAGAACGUCGGCUCGUGAGGGGACGCGUCUCGUGUUUUAUUUUGCUGCUGGCUGGACCAUGUGGCCAACGGAUGGAUAUUCAGGACAUCUGACUCUCGUCUGCGCUGAACGGAUUGUUUGAACCAUGUCCACGGGUUCCAGAGAGCUCCCACGUCUGCGCGCGGUGCCUUCAAACGCGGCUCGCGGGCAAACUUGACGCCAGAAAUGUUGCAGCACUACUGAAUCAUUUGCACUAACAAUCGGAAUGUUUUGUCUUUUUCAAUAUUACCGGAUUAAAAUGAUUUGGUUUAAAGGUGUAACAGUGAGUAAAAAAACUGCACCCUCCACAAAUAUUUACUCCGGAUGUUAUACGGUUGUAAGUCGGGUUGAAAAGUAUGUAGUGAAAGACUGAAAGCAAUUUGGAACUAAAGGAAUCUCACGUUGUCGCUAUGAAUACUUAUCAGUCCUCACCCUCUAAGCACAGGAGACAAAACAAGCUCGGCCUCCGAUCUGCCGUGUAGGAAAGAAGAAGUUUAAUCAGUGAUCGUUCCCUUUUCUGGUUGCGCAACAGGAAAGGGAUUAUGUUCACGAGGAUCAUUGUCCCUGUGGUCCGUCAACAAAGGCGCGGGGAAUUCUCCCUGAUGUUUACCCGCUUUCAGGUUAGCGUUUUACUUCCUGUGUGGAUCAGUGUCAUUGGGUCCAGGUUUUAAUGGUCAAAGGUCAAUCUGAGUUCCCACAAUGGAUUUUUGGGCAAGUGUACAUAAGUGAUGACAAUUUCCUACAAUUGUUUUAUUGGAAAACAUUAAAAUGGUUGAGACAUGCAAACCGGUAAUUCUUCCGUCAUGACUUGAUGAGCGGUAAAAGUGAGAGUAUUCCUCGGUGAGAGCCGUUUAGCACAUGUUGAAACGAAUAUCCAGCACACGAUGUGGAAGCUGAACAAUGUGAAUCACGAUUAUCUGUCGCUGAGUCAGUCGGCCCUCAGCCGCGGGACUCCGCAGGCCGACAGCUCGUCAAAAUGAGUGCAAACCCACAUAAACAAACUGAACUACUGAACUCAAGGGUCCCAGGCACGUAAGAUAAGGAAAUACAAAAUGAUGAAAUUACACCUAAAAUAACACACCGUGCUCGUUACUAGAAAAAUGAAAUACCGUCUCAAGCAAAGGGACGUAGUCAUGGUCAGGGUGGAUUAAUAAAAGGUGGAUUAAUCAAUGCGGCUGCUGCUUCGGCUUUGAGCGCGGUGAAACAAAUCACCUCAUUAGACCGGAAUGGAGGAAACGGCACCCAAAUGAAAGCUCGUGGGAAGCUUAGAUUUCCCAAUAUAAGUGACGUAAAUGGUUCAGCUGUGGUUGUAUU